rfam:Candidatus Nealsonbacteria bacterium RIFCSPHIGHO2_02_FTLL_43_13 rifcsphigho2_02_scaffold_14708, whole genome shotgun sequence.
AAACUCAAAGGAAUAGACGGGGAUUCNNNNNNNNGGUGGAUCAUGUGGCUCAAUUCGACAACAAACGAGGAACCUUACCAGGGCUUGACAGACUAAUGACGUCUCGCAGAAAUGCGGGACUACCCACAAGGACAUUANNNNNNNNNNNNNNNGGUUGAUACCUUAAAAAUAUAAGGUAAACGACCCACUAGAGAGCAAUCUUUAGUGUAAAAACCAGCUCAUAACGGUGAAACCCUAAUUCUUUAAUGAUAUAAUUAAGGAAUGGGCAAUACCGUGGGAAGUACGAAUACUAAUUUUUGUAAUUUCUUUUCGAAAGAGAAAGACGCUUACAUUCUUGGUCUUUGGUGUGCCGAUAGUUAUUGGUGGGCAAGUUCGAUCGGACUUAGCAAUACAAAUUCCGACCUAAUCGACGUUUUCAGAAAAUUCCUGGAAAAACAUUUUUCGAAAGAUAGAAUAAAAUUCAACAGACAUCAUCUGUUCGUAAACAGCCGGCCAUUAUUGAGAGAAUUUGUUUUAGCUAAAAACAGUUUAAACAAAUUGAAAAGAAUUAAAGUUAUCCGAGCGUAUCUUGCCGGACGCUUUGACGGUGAUGGAUCGAUCGACAAGAACUUACGAAACGACUGUCGGAUUGUUUACGCCAGAAGAAUUGAAGCAGAAAUCGACAAGAAACUUCUUAGCAGAAUCGGCAUUAGCAACACAAAAGUUUACUAUUACAAAAGUGCAAGAAUUUUUUGUCUAUAUAUUUCUCGUUUUGAAUCGAAGAAAUUUUUAGACAACAUCUUGGCAUAUUCGUUGAAAUUGCAAAAAUUAGUAUUCGUACCCCGUAGAGACUUAGUUUUCCACCAGGACUAGGAGAACUUAAUGGUAAUAAUAUUGCCAUUACACGCUGGUUCCCGCUUUAUCGGGAAAUGGUAUAGUCCAUACCAUAAGUAAUUAUGGAAGAAUAUGGUCGUCAGCAUGUAUCUUGAGACGCACCCUUAAAUGGAUUAACAUGCGCAACCCCUACUCUGUGUUUUAUAUGUCACAGAGAACUGCCUGGGACAACCAGGAGGAAGGUGGGGAUGACGCCAAAUCAGCACGGCCCUUUGAUGCCCUGGGCCGCACACAUGAUACAAUGGGGCCGACAGCGCGUUGCGAAGGAGUAAUCCGGAGCUAAUCGCACAAACGGCCUCUCAGUUCAGAUUGAGGGCUGCAACUCGCCCUCAUGAAGCUGGAAUCGCUAGUAAUCGCGUAUCAGCUAUGGCGCGAUGAAUACGUUCCUGAAUCUUGUACUCACCGCCCGUCACAUUAGGGAAGCCGGUAGUAGCCGACGUUUCACUUUAUUGUGGACCUAAGCUAAGAUCGGUAACAAGAAUGAAGUCGUUGGUGCAAACUGCACGUUGCGACUUUU